GACGAACGCUGGCGGCGUGCCUAACACAUGCAAGUCGAGCGAGUGAAUCUCCUUCGGGAGUGAAGCUAGCGGCGGACGGGUGAGUAACACGUGGGCAACCUGCCUCAUAGAGGGGAAUAGCCUUUCGAAAGGAAGAUUAAUACCGCAUAAGAUUGUAGCUUCGCAUGAAGUAGCAAUUAAAGGAGCAAUCCGCUAUGAGAUGGGCCCGCGGCGCAUUAGCUAGUUGGUGAGGUAACGGCUCAACAAGGCGACGAUGCGUAGCCGACCUGAGAGGGUGAUCGGCCACAUUGGGACUGAGACACGGCCCAGACUCCUACGGGAGGCAGCAGUGGGGAAUAUUGCACAAUGGGGGAAACCCUGAUGCAGCAACGCCGCGUGAGUGAUGACGGCCUUCGGGUUGUAAAGCUCUGUCUUCAGGGACGAUAAUGACGGUACCUGCGGAGGAAGCCACGGCUAACUACGUGCCAGCCGCCGCUGUAAAAC
rnacentral:rRNA from 1 species